AUCUACUGCCAUACCACCCUGAAUGUACCCGAUCUUGUCUGAUCUUGGAAGCUAAUCAGGGUUGGGCCUGGUUAGUACUUGGAUGGGGGACCACCUGGGAAUACCGGUUGCUGUAGUAU
rnacentral:rRNA from 1 species